AUUGAACGCUGGCGGCAGGCUUAACACAUGCAAGUCGAACGAGUGGCGGACGGGUGAGUAAUGCCUGGGAAUCUAGCUUAUGGAGGGGGAUAACUACGGGAAACGGUAGCUAAUACCGCGUACCAUAGGAUGAGCCCAAGUGGGAUUAGCUAGUUGGUGGGGUAAUGGCUCACCAAGGCGACGAUCCCUAGCUGGUCUGAGAGGAUGACCAGCCACACUGGAACUGAGACACGGUCCAGACUCCUACGGGAGGCAGCAGUGGGGAAUAUUGCACAAUGGGCGCAAGCCUGAUGCAGCCAUGCCGCGUGUAUGAAGAAGGCCUUAGGGUUGUAAAGUACUUUCAGUCGGGAGGCGUUACCGUCAGAAGAAGCACCGGCUAACUCCGUGCCAGCAGCCGCGGUAAUUC
rnacentral:rRNA from 1 species